CAAAGGAAACACAUAAGGAAAUAAUAGUUGUAAAUUUUUUUUAAAAAGGGUUCAUAAGCUCCAAGUUGAUCCUCUGUUCUAGAACCUUUUACAUAACCAUCAUAAUCAAUACUAUUUGAUUCAACAGAAAGAAUUGAUAGGAAUCUUUGAUCCCGUAUUUCCCUGGGAAGCAAAAGAGAGAGGGGAAAAAAGAUCUUCUCUUUGCAAUAUAACAUUUUCUUCAUGUGAGACUAAAAUGAGCAGAUUCCCUAUAGCUGUCACUGUUUUUCCAUUUGUUUUCCAAGUGCACCCAAAUCCUUCACUUUCCACUUGUUUCCCCUCCAAUGUGACCAAAAGAACUGGUCUUAAUUUGCUGUAUUUAAACAGUUCUUAAAAUCUAUGAACCAUUUGAAAUGUGCAGUUUAUUAUGGCUGGAGCAGCCUAACAGGUAGCAGAGCCAUUCAGAGUAGUGGGAAUUACCCACCACCCUAACAGAGAACAAUGAUCUAUGUCAAUGUCUUGGUUUUCGGAAAGGAGACCAUUGGAAUGUCUUGAGUGGCUGGAAAGAAUAGCAUUUGCCUUUAAGGUACACUGCAGUUUUGCUCAAGAAGAGAAUGACCACGGUGCUUUCAAAUCAUAACUGACCAUCAGCGUUUCCAGAUGUGGAACAGCCCAGCACACAUUUUCAAAGCUCCUUUUCUAUUCACAGUCCAGCCAGAAACACUGUUCCAAACCCAUAUGGAAAAGGAACCAAGACACUGACCUUCUCCUUUGAGAGACCUUUACUUGUGAUCCGCCCAAUGUGUAUCUGACAUGGAAACCAGCUCUAAGUACACAAAGCAAAACCACAUUUCUGGCUGCUUAAGGACGAAUUGCAGUGUGUCCUCUGUACUCUAGAAGAACUAGAAGGACCAAAAAACAGAGAAGGGGGGGAGGGUGGACCAGGAAAAGGAAAGCUAAUCCAAAAUGCAUGAAUCUCAGGCUUUAUUUCAAUGCAAAUAUGAGAAGGUUUUUUUUUUUUUGACAAUGCUCCUUUCAAUGAACCUGAAGCAAAUCACUAGUGGGACAUAGCCCAAUGUCAUGGAAAGAGAACUGGAUUUAGAAACAGGACAUAGGUUCUAAUCUUGACUGACAUUUAUUAGAUGUAUGAUGGUGGCCAAGAUACUCUCCUCCUCUGGGCCUCAGUUUACUUAUAUGUAAAUAUGGAAAUGGAUUAAGUGAUCUUUAAGUCCCUUCCCAGCUCUAGAGUCCACAAUCUCCUACCUAAGCAUAUUUGUUCAUCUGCAAUUCCCACGAGCACUUGUGAAUCAUUUAAAAUGAUAAUCAAAAGAGACCAGAAAAGCAGUAAAUGAGUAUUUAAUAAACACCAAUUUUCCACCAGAUCCUAUAUGAGAUAUUGAGGGUAGGUGAGUCAGUCAGUCUAUGAGCAUUUAUCAAAGUCAUACUAUGUGCCAAGCAUUGUGCUCAGUGCCUGGAAUAUAAAGAAAGGCAAAAAUUCUGCCUCUGCCCUCAAGGAGUUUGCAUUGCUAAUGGGGUAGACAAUGUGGGGAAAAAUUGCAUAUACAAGAUAUAUGCAACAUAAAUGAAAGGUAAUCCCAAAGGGCACACAGCAAAGAGGCUAAUGAAAGGCAUUGGGCAGGGCAGGUUUGAGCUGAACCCUGAAAGCUUAGUAGGUACAAGUGAUGAGAGAGAGUAGGGCAUAAGGGACAGCCAGUGAAAAGAUUCAAAGUCGGGAAUGGAGUGUCAUGUGUGCCGGAUAGCAGAUGGAGUGUCUUGUGGAAGAAGCAGCCAGGCCAGUGUCUGUGGAUCUUAGAAUGCAUGGAAGGGUGUAAAAUGCAAGAAGCUUGGGAAGGCAAGGAAGGGCUAAGUUGUGAAUGCCAAAUGGAAGGCUUUAUAUUUGAUUCUGGAGGCAAUAGGGAGCCACUAGAGUUUCAUGAGUAGUGGGGGAGUGAUAUGGUCAGAUCCUUCAACAGGAUCACUUUGAGUGGAGACCCAGAGCAUGGUAUAUUCCCUUGGAUAAAGGGAGGUUAGAGAAAUUUUGGAGCAAAACAGGGGGGUCCUCACAAUGUCCCUUUUUUGGUAGGUACAAUUACUAUUCUUAUUUUACAGAUAAAGAAACUAAAAUUCAGGAGUACCGUAUUACUUGCUCAGGAUCACACAGUUUGUUCCUGAAUUGAAGAAUACAGGACUACAAUCAAGAUCGACAGCAGACAAGAGUGGCAUGCUGACCAGAUGACCAGAGUUUCUCCAAUCAACAUCAAAGGACAUGGAAGGACUUUGAAAGUUUGGACUUGUGAUCCUGAGGUUAUGUAAGAAUGCGACAUACAUAUUAACAUCACAUAUAUAUAUAUAUAUAUACACAUUCUACAAAGGAAGAUAUCUCAUGGAAUGGAAUUAAAUUUGACUACUUCCCUACUGAGGAACCUCUUUCUUCUUUCAAAGUGGAUGGCAGUGAGGGGAGAGGAACCAUCAAAGGGAUAUUCAAUUCUGGAUCUAAUUCUCACCAGAAAAGGAAGCACUGAACAAACUGUCUCGGACUAUCCUUGCGAAAAAGAUGGAGAGAUGCCAAUGGGAUCACAAUGCAAAGAAGUAGAGUCAGCAUGGGCUGCAUGGCAGGACCCAAACAUUAAUCACGAAUAUUCAAUGCCACCUUGGAGAGAGAUCUUCCAUGCAGGGGAAUCUUUCUCAGUGCUGAGUGAACUUCAAAGAACACACCAUCAACCAAAUGAUUUCAUGUGGGUCUGCUUUCCUCCUUGUCACAUUUCAGCCAGGACAGCUCAUAGCCAGAACUUGGAGCACUCAAGCAAAAGUCAAAUAGAAAACUGGAUUGUCAUCAAGCAAUGAAAAUAUCAGAAUGAAAUGCAGUUUGUGAGAAAUCGCAAGGUCUGGCAGCUAUCAACAGGUGGCAUCAGGCAUCUCUUCCCAGUGUGGCAUCUACUAAGCCAUAGGCAGCCUGGCCCAGUCUCUCAUAGGACAACAUCCCAAAUCAAUACAGAGGGGAACGCCUCUGCCCCACAACUUUAGCGUUGGUCCAUACUAAAGUCUUCCUCCCCAUGGUUCACAAAGUCAUCAUCAUAAUAGCUAACGUUUACAGAUCUUAAGAUGUGCAAAGCACUUUACAUUUAUGUUGUGUAGUUUCUUGCACAUAAGAGCCUUGUGUUAAUGCUAUCCACAAUGCCUUUCACAGCUUUGGAUCAAGAAAGAACUUCAGAAGCUAUCUAGCCUCACUUCCAUAUUUCAUUCCUGUGAAAACUAGGUCCACGGAGGAUAAAUGACCAAGGAAGAUCAAAUAAGGACAUCUGGACGCCACUUCCUGAGAGUUGCUGCAGUCAUCUAUUACAAUGGCACCCGCAUGUCCUGAAAGGAUGAAUUCUACCUCCAAAAUGCCUCAUAUAUAUACAGGGAGCCAAUGACUCACCCAGCAGGUGACAUAAAAUAAAAAGGGAAGAUACAUAGUCACAAAAACGUGUUUGUCACCAUUGUGAACGAUGUUCUGAGAAGAGCUCAAACUGAAGAGGGACUCCCUAUCAAUAGUGAGGUCCUCCAGAUGUUCAUAUUUGUGCAUGACUUUGCACUAAUUGCAUCAAGCCCCAGGAUACUGGAGGGCCUCUUCACUGAGAUUUAUGGCCAUUCAAAAAAGAGGUUGGCCUGGUAAUCCAAUCCAGAGUAACCAAAGUUAAACCAUAGAGUCGAAUGGAAAGCCCAUUGAAUUAUUCCAUCAACACAUAUAUCAUGGACAAGCAUUAUAAGUGGACAAUUAGUUGGGCCCAGAUUUGAUUAAGGAGAGAAGAGCAGGUUGGACUGCACGUGGGAAGUUAUGAAGCACUUUCCAAAAGCAAAAGUUUUCUAGUGUAAACACUCUUCUUUAUUAACCGCAAUGUUCUUCAGGGAAAGCUACGUGUCUAUAAAUUAUGGAAUGCUGCUAUCUCCAAAGAGUAAUUCUCCUAGGUGAAUCUGAGAAAGCAAUGGAAAUAGAGUGGAAGAUAUUACAUUAUUAUUAAUUAGCAAUGAUGACUUGCAUGCUAGAAAUGAUUUUUAAAAACACUAUCAUCAAGAAUACUGAUAAGAAAAAGAGGUAGGUUGGUCAUGUAGCAAGAG